GACCUUUGAUGCCUAAACUUAACAUUUGAGACUUUCAGGGAGGAACACUGUGACAUGUCACCUCUGAUGCUGGACCGUACGGGACAGCCUGCUCUUGAUUUGCUCAGUAAGAGAGCCCGGCACCCUCAGCCUGGGCUCCAGGGGCUCCCGUGCUCUCCUGGAUCCUGCACUGCCUGCCCCGUCGUCCUUCCUUCUGUCCCUGGAUCAUUGGGCUACCAGGCGGCCCUGUUUAGGUGCUGAGGAGUUCCAUCUGGACAGAAAAUGCCUUCUGGAUGGAUCAUCUACUACACAGUAUUUGAAGAAGACUUACAUUGGAAGUAGAAUGGGUGACAAUCUGUCACGGCACACCCUGGAGAAUCAGUUUGUGCUUUUUAUUUUCUUGUGUAGUUUCCAUUGAAUGAAGAAUGUAAUUUCAACUGAACACUGAUUCAGAGGUUCAGAUGACUCCAGGUUUAUUACCAGCCCCAUCAAUGAGACACGAAAACAGACCAAUAGUGUCUGCAGUAGGAACAGAAGAAAGAAAUGACUACAGAGGCACCACAGGCAUCCACUGGAGGUGAAGGAAAUGUUCUGCCUUUGGAUUAUGUUGCUGACUUAACGGGUGUGUGUGCACCUAGCAAAACUCAUAUAACUGUUCACUUCAAAUGCAUUUACUUUGCUAUACAUUAAUUACACCUUAAUGAACUUGAUAAAAUAGAGUGCAAUGUGUUCAUUAAGGAUAGAAAUUGCCUUUGAGAUCAUCUAGUGAUCUGUCCUGAAACUCUAAAUCGGUUUUCGCAUCUAAAGAAGAAAGUGACACAGGGUUAAUUAUUUUGCUUCCUAUUCUAUGUUUUAACAAUAAACAUGGCUAUGUAGAUGUAUACAUGAACAUUCAUGUCCAGAUGCAACUAUUCAAGUUUAAGAGAAUUUGGAAUUCUCUGAGAUUUUCUCUAAUGCUUUUUCUGCUCUUGUGUUAAGUUCUGAAACUGAAUUAUUUUUUAACACAGGCUGCCUAACUGUCUGUUUUGUCUCUCAUGCUAGAAAGAGAGUUAGAUUCUCAGAACAUCUUGGUUUGCCUGGCUUUUCCAGAAAUGAUAGGAAUUCCUAUUAGGAUAUAUUUCCAAGGCCUGGAAAUGUUUUCAAUAAGCCAUCAGGAGUUUUGGCUGAAACUGCUGCUCAGUUCAUGCUUUUUGGGCUUCACAGAACACUCAAUCCACAACAUGUGCUAGAAACCUGGACCCAGCUAAGAUUGAAAACUUCUGCUAUCUGUCAUCUGCCCCUCUGCUUUCUCUUUCAUUCCAUGGUGCAUUUCUACCUGCUCGGGAAAGUAAACCAUAGAGCAACAGAAGAAAUGGUAGGUGAGGAGUACCUUAUCCAUAUCUCCGUGUUGAUGCUCACUGCCUUCCUUGCAAUCAGCAUGCUGCUCCCAGAAUUGCCGUCUUGUCCCUUGCAACACCACUAAAAAGAAAAAGUCUUUGAAUGCUAUUUUACUUGGCACACUCUAGCAUUCAGCUAGUACAGAAUAAGUUCAAUCCAGUUCACGCACACAACAGGAGCUGUGGAAGGUGAUGAGGACUGGUGAACAUUGAUGGAGGGGAGCAGAUGCGGGAACCAACCAUUUUUUAGGGCAUGCAUCAGCAUAUUAACAUAUGCUGAAUAUUCACAACAUAGAUUCUUAUCUCUCACUGUUAGAACAACUGCAAAACAGCAAAGAGAUUUUGACAAAGAAAGUUUUAAGUGUCAUCUUGGGGGGAAAAAGAGGACAAAGUAUGAAUUGCUUGAUUGUGAGUGUCCUUAUUUGUCCAAGUGUUUGGAUAACCCUAGAAACGAAGCCUACCCUUCUGUGUCUGUUCAAUUAGAAGCUGGAAUCAACAGGUCCCCUCUGAACAUCAAGGCUUGAAAAUGACUCUUCCUUUAUAAGCCCUACAUCCUGCUGUCUUUCUUGAGGUCUCCAGGAUCUAAGAAAGGACUUGGCUUUCCAAUCAGACCUUUCUGUCAUCUUGUGCAUGACGGUGUCCUUUCACAAAUGUUUGCUCCAUCUUGCCAGGUCUACUACAAAGACGCAGAUGUUUCUUGAAAGUGGCAAAAAGAUCAAAGAGACUGUUUGUGCCUG